GUGAAGAAAUGGGGAGUACUAGGAAAAUGCUAGUUAAGAUACAAAAAUCAGUGUUCAUUGUUCAAAAGUGGAUGAAGGUGUUGAUAUUGUUGGUUUGUGUUUUAUGUGUCAUAUAGAUGAUUUUAGUUUCAAUGUUGAUGAGAAUGGGAUGAAAAUGUAUGAGAUGAGAAGAGAUGUAUUGAUAAGAGUGAAUGAAAAUUGUUCUCUUUAAUCUGAAAACUUUGUUGAAUGAGAAUUUGUCUUUUCGCCAAAUAUACAGCAUGUGAAUGAAAUAUACA
rnacentral:lncRNA from 1 species